CACUUUCAUUUAUUCCUCUCUCUGGCUAUUCUGAAACUGAAAAAAUCUGUCUCUCAUCAAAUCAUUAUCAUAAUUACCUUUCUUCUUCGUCUUCGUCAUCUACAGCUCUUCUCUCUGUCAAACAUGGUGUAGAGAUCGACCUUUUAGCUGUCCAAACCCUAAUCUCGAGUUUUAGACGGAUCUGAAGAUUGUAGCGGCGGCUAGAUCAGAGCCUGGUGGAAUUUGAACGACGAUGUCGAUGAUGAUAUUGACUCCGCCAACGGUAUUACCGCAGUUGAUGUAGUGUCUCUCAAAAUACUCGAUUCCACUAAAAGCAGACUCUGCUAUGAACGAGAUCUACUUGCCAUUGUUGAGGCUGGUGAACAGGUUUGUUCUUGUUCUUGUUCUUGGUUCAGGAAGUAUCGGUUAAACACUUGACUGAUUUAUAGCGGCGGCUUGUUCUUGUUCUCUGCUUAUUGUUCUCCAACCUUAAACCGUAUUAGGUUGCUUAUGUAUUGGUCCAAUUGCAAAAUAAAACUGCUUUUACUACUCUGGCUGUUUCUGCCACAAUGGAAGCUAGUUUGGAUUCGUUAUGUCUCAACUGUGUGCUGAUGUGUUGUGAUGGCUUGAUUGCAACAUUUGGUGAUCUGAAUCAUCUAAUCUCUUCAACCAUGAGUGGGGUUACAUGUUGAGGUUAGUUUCAUGGGCAAAUAUGUUGAGUGGCUUCUCUCCACUGGUGGCUUCUCCAUGAACACGUAAGAGGAUGUGAAAUGUCAGGGAUGCUUCAACAUAACCACUGUGUUCAGCCAUUCUCAAACAGUUGUAGUGUGUGGAAACUGUCAAGACUGUUCCGUGCCAGCCCUGGGUGGUAAAGCAAGGCUCCAAGAAGGAUGCUCUUUCAGGAAAAAGUGGGAUUGAGAUGUCACGAAAUCAAUCAUCUUUUUCACAAAUGUUUUCUGUUGAGAGGAUUCAGAUCUUUCUUUAGUUUUGUUUUCUUGUUUUUAGUAGUUUUAAUGUCUAUGACUUUUUUUUUUGUUUGCUUGUAAAGGGAUUAUGAAACUACUAGAUGAGUAGUCGAUUAGAACUCUUGUCUUGUUGAAACAGUUUCUGCUUUCUUUUAAGGUUUAAUCUUUUUUCAUGCU